rnacentral:lncRNA from 1 species
AAAGGAGAGAAGGCUGAGGGGUCUGAGCAGCGCUGACCCACACCUGAAGGGCGGGGGAUGGGGCCAAACCCACCUGGACACUGUGCAGCUGCUGUAGGGACUGCUGCGGGUCGGGCUGGGAGAGAUCCAGAGGGCCCUUCCAGCAACCACGUUGUGGGAUUCUGGCGCCUCGAGUGGUAUGUGUGCAAUUCUGGGCCCCUCAGUGCAGAAAAGACAUGGAGGCCCUGGAGUGUGUGUCCAGAGACAGACAGCAGAGCUGGGCAGACCCUGGAGUGCAGUCCUGUUGUGAAUGGCUCAAGGAAUAGGGAUGGUUCAGUCUGAAGGAAGCUCCGAGAAGACCUCAUAGCUCCCUACAACUCCUGAAAGGAGGUUGGAGAGAGGAAGGGUCAGCUUCUGCUCCCAGGAAAAUGUCUUCGUGAGGGGAGAAAGGCAGUAAUCACAGAGAAGUUGAAAGGAAGUGACAGAGGCAGAAGCGGGAUCUCUGCUGAUGUUUCUUCCAGCAGGAUGCAUAAUAGGUCCCACCAGUGGGAAAUAAAAGCACUGAGUCACAGCUCUGAUUCAACAUGGAGCAGCACUCCCAUUGCUGGCUGCGGCUGUCAGGUAUCACUCGGAAGUACAAGUGUAUUGCCUCUUACCAGAUCUGCCAUCUACCACCUGAACCAGGGCUGUGCUGCUGUAUUGCUAGUGUUUAAAUGUUUCUCCCCUUGCACCCAGCAGAUU